UAGCUUGAUCCUGGCUCAGGAUGAACGCUAGCGGCAGGCUUAAUACAUGCAAGUCGAGGGGCAGCAUAAGUGUAGCAAUACAUUUGAUGGCGACCGGCAAACGGGUGCGGAACACGUACACAACCUUCCUUUAAGCGGGGAAUAGCCCAGAGAAAUUUGGAUUAAUACCCCAUAGUAUAUUGACCAGGCAUCUGGUUAAUAUUAAAGAUUUAUCACUUGAAGAUGGGUGUGCGGCUGAUUAGAUAGUUGGCGGGGUAACGGCCCACCAAGUCUACGAUCAGUAACUGGUGUGAGAGCACGACCAGUCACACGGGCACUGAGACACGGGCCCGACUCCUACGGGAGGCAGCAGUAAGGAAUAUUGGUCAAUGGACGCAAGUCUGAACCAGCCAUGCCGCGUGGAGGAUGAAGGUCCUCUGGAUUGUAAACUUCUUUUAUAUGGGACGAAAAAGGAUCUUUCCAGAUCAACUGACGGUACCAUAUGAAUAAGCACCGGCUAACUCCGUGCCAGCAGCCGCGGUAAUACGGAGGGUGCAAGCGUUAUCCGGAUUCACUGGGUUUAAAGGGUGCGUAGGUGGGUUGGUAAGUCAGUGGUGAAAUCUCCGAGCUUAACUUGGACACUGCCAUUGAUACUAUCAGUCUUGAAUACUGUGGAGGUUAGCGGAAUAUGUCAUGUAGCGGUGAAAUGCUUAGAUAUGACAUAGAAACACCAUUGCGAAGGCGGCUGGCUACACAAAUAUUGA
rnacentral:rRNA from 1 species